rnacentral:lncRNA from 1 species
AGCGGCGCGGGCCGGCGGGCAGGUCCGAGUGCGUGGCCCGCCAAGCUCGCUCCCACAAGGAACUCUCGCUGGCCCGCGAGCGCCAAGCGCAGCCCCGGGUCCCCGCCUGGGCCUCUCCCUCCCCACCUCCCCGCAAGUAGAGGGAGCCGGCUCCGGCCUUGGCCAGCCCAGAGAGCGGCUCCAGCGGUGCAGCGGCGGGCUGAAGGGCUCCUCAAGUGUGGCCAGAGCGGACGCCGAGGCCGAGGAGGCGCCGAGAGCGAGCGAGGGCUGCUGGCACAUUGUCACCUCUCAAAAUGAGUGGCAUCUCAUUGAAACCCAAACUAAGACAAUUCGUGACAGCAGUGGCCCUUAUUGUUUUGGUGAAUAAUGUUGCUCCAAACUCCAAUAAACUUCCAACUGCCAGUGGUAAGUGAAGCAAUAAUUCUUGUCAUGUGGUAGCAUUAUAAUUAAGAUUUUUACAGGAGAUGAAUCAGAAUUUGGUACAAAGAGAGCAUGAAGCAUUGGUUUGCAUAGUAACGGCACACAUUAUCAAUAUAAGAGCAAUGGUAAUAUUAAGGACUGUGCAAUUCAUUGUCCUUAGUUUAGUUUUAGAAGCCAAAAAAAAAGAAAGAAAGAAAAGAAAAUUACAGGCUUAAAUUAGCCAGCUAUCAAGGCAUACUGUAAAGUCAUCCUGGCAGAACAGAGCAGAUAUUGAUGAAAACAAGGCUCAGUAUUUAAAUAUAAAGAUGUCAGAGUUACAGUGGACACUGAAUGUUUAACUCCCAUGUGUCUCCUAUGCCAGAGAAGAGCCCAAAUUUGUAGGAAAGGAAGACCUAGGGACCCAGGAUGUGCCCAAUUAUCUGGAAAACCCUGAACAUAUUGAAUUUCCACAGUCAUAUUCUUCUUUGGAAGAAAUAGCUCCCUUCCCAUAUUAAAUGCUGUUCUUACAUAGAGCUCUGGUAAAGACCUCAUCUGGUUCGGGUGUCUUGCAGGAUGAUGCUUAGAUUAUUCAAUAUCCGACCCUAUCUCCUCUCACAGUUUCGUAGUCUCUAAGCAGGGGCAAGUGAAACAGAGCAAAGGCAAGAUAAUACAGUAAUUUCUCCAGGAGGAGAAAGACAAGCACAUCCAAAUAACUAAAACAUAUGACUGAUAAGUAUUGAAAAAUACUAGGGAGCAUAUGUUGGAAUGUAUCUGGAAGUUAAGAUUUGGACCAGGACUACAACAUAGCUGGCUUAUUAUUCACACAGGAGCAUGCCGUUGUGACUCAAUGUUUAAUGUCUUGGAAAGGACACCUGUAGACAAUACUUAGAAUUGCUCUUUAAAU